CCGUAGUCCGGUGUCGAGCCGGUGGGUGCCGCCGGCGACUCAGCACACCAGGUGAGUCCCUGUUGAGGGAGACCCGGUGAGCGACUCCAACCAGACUGGUACAACCAAGGCUUAUCCCUACUACCGUACCUUGCACGUGUGUCGUAAACAAGUGUUGUUUCUUAGCUAGCCGCACGUGCUGUUUACAGUUAAUAUAAUAUUUAGGUUUCAGUAUAAAGCUGUUGCGCUGCAUUAUAAGGCGAUUCUCACACUGCCCCGCAUGAUGCAGCGUAGCGCGUGGAUGCGUGUUCUUCCGUUGCUUGAUCCGAACCCGGGACCUCCGGAUCGUGAGUCCGACGCGCAACCACUGGACCACGGCGGCCGUAUGAUUUGAAUCCGAAAUACCAACAUCCAUCUGAGUCGGAGCGACUGCAGCGAGUGAGCGUAGCAUUAGUAAGAAAUACGAUGCAAGCGAUGUGAAGGCGUCGCGGGCUCGCACUUGCUCAAGACAGGUGAAAGAAGUUUCCACGGAGAGUCCGCCUGAUUAAUGGUUGCUGGCGAAGAGAUAAAAACUAUGCGAACACUUGUGCAGUGUUUUCAAAAGGAUGCUCUACAACAGUUUCAAUUUUGAGUCGUUAAUGAUUUUCUCGUCGAUUCAAAGGAUAUCGUAUCUUGCCAUUACAAUUGAUUUUGCAGGUGAUUGUUUUACUAGAAGUAACCUAGAAGUUUGUAUAUGAAAAAAAUGUGUAAGUACUUUAAAACAAAAUACGUUUCAGGCUAAUUGUAACGCAGUCUGUAAACUCAAUAACAUUCGCUUUGGGAAUCGAUCGAACACAGUGUACCUAUAUGGUUUGGUGCGCCAGAUAGUGUAGUAAAAUACGGAAGAACAGUAAUCACACUUAUUUAUUCUGGUAUCAAGAAAAUAACACUUAACUUGGUAAACACGUCCGAUGUCGACAAGGUCCCCAAUGCAAGAGAGCGUGUAUCAAUCCGUCCGAUUUGACAACCCCAUUCUUGUGUUGCCAUUUAUGGAAAAAUGUUUUAUAACUGUCAACGAACUAUUCAGCCUAACAAUAGAUAGAUAGGUACUACAAAGUAUUAGAUUCAAAAACUCAGAAUUUUCUUUUUUAAAUUAAAUAGUUCAUCAUUAAAAUGGUUCUGGCAGAGCUAGACGUAGAAAGACGCACGUUGACCAAAUUGGAGAUGACUUAAGAAAAGGUUCAGUACGAUCUACUCUGAACCGGCAUGCGUGUAUGAAACGAUUGAUGAAUGUGGAGAAAGCGAGAGAUGUGUGUCAGAUGCAAAUCGAAUUCCAUAGUCUCUGCUUACCCCGGUGGGAAAUAGGCAUGAGUUUAUGUAUGUAUGUGUAUGAAAAAUGAUUGGGUUGAUUGAGAGGAGGCCUAUGCUCGGCACUGGAACAUAUAAAAUAAUGUUUAUUUUUAUGUUGUGUUGUCUUUAAAACUAUUCAGUUAUAUUUAUUUGAUGUGGAGACCCCAGUCGAAAUACAUACUAUCUGUGCAUUUUUACUGUAUAUACAUUGUAUUUGUCUUUCUCUUUCUUGCUGAUUUUGUUCCAUUAUCUUCGCCCCAAUUCGUUAAUACCGUCCAAAUCCAUUCCUUCACUCACUAAGUACGCUUCACGAGGAAGCACUUAGUCUCCUCAUUUCAUAUUAAGCCUUCUCAAAUUAAAGGAAAAUAUUGGCAAUGUAGUCACUAAAUAAAAAUGUAAUAUUGGUGCCUAUUUGGGUAGACACUUUAACCUAUUUUUUACUCGACUGCGGAAAUUGGAGAUGUGUUUGACCGCUAUGUAUUCAUGUACAAAUGUAUGUAUGCACAUAUGUUUCAACCUAACUUCUAAACCACUUGUCAGAAUUUAACAAAUGAGCUAUCACUAGAAGCAUCUUGACUGUCCGAUGGUUAUAGGCUACGUGACGUCACGCUAAAUUCAAUGUGGCGCCCUCUAGAGGG